AGGGUCGAAGCAUGGGCCAGAUAUAUUGAUGACGUGAUCUUCAUCUGGAAAGGAACCGAGGAUGAAUUGAGAACAUUCAUGAGCCACCUUAACUCAAAUGACUUAAACAUCAAGUUGACAUACAAGAUGAGGGAUUCGAAGCAAGGGCAUGUGAACUCUGGGAGCGAUUCCGAGAACGGGGGUACCAGGAAAAUUGGAUCUUGAGGGCAUAUCUAAGGGCCAAACAUACUAAACGCGAGAGUCUUCUGCAAUCAAAACCUAAGAAAGAUGGUGAUAACCAGGGAUGACGACGAGAGAGUUGAAGAAAAGAACAAGGGAACACGUCUUGAGUAUAUUGGCGGCAAAUGAAGAAUCGGAUCUACGAAGGCUCACAACAGUUCCACGACAUUUCAAGC